UACGUAGGGUGCAAGCGUUGUCCGGAAUUAUUGGGCGUAAAGGGCUCGUAGGCGGUCAUCUACGUCUGGGGUGAAAGCCCGGAGCUCAACUCCGGGAUUGCCUUGGAUACGGGAUGACUUGAGGAUCGGAGAGGCAAGGGGAAUUCCACGUGUAGCGGUGAAAUGCGUAGAGAUGUGGAGGAACACCUGUGGCGAAGGCGCCUUGCUGGCCGAUUUCUGACGCUGAGGCGCGAAAGCGUGGGGAGCAAACAGG
rnacentral:rRNA from 1 species